AGCAGCCGCGGUAAUUCCAGCUCCAAUAGCGUAUAUUAAAGUUGUUGCAGUUAAAAAGCUCGUAGUUGAAUUUCGGGACUAAUAUGUCGGUCGUACUUUGUACGCACUAGCAUUAUUGGUUUCUCCCUUCUAACGAACCACGAUGUCAUUAAUUUGGUGUCAUGGGAAAUCAGGACUGUUACUUUGAAAAAAUUAGAGUGUUUAAAGCAAGCUCGCGCUUGAAUACAUUAGCAUGGAAUAAUGAAAUAGGACGUUUGAUUCUAUUUUGUUGGUUUCUAGGAUCGACGUAAUGAUUAAUAGGGAUAGUUGGGGGCAUUAGUAUUCAAUUGUCAGAGGUGAAAUUCUUGGAUUUAUUGAAGACUAACUACUGCGAAAGCAUUUGCCAAGGAUGUUUUCAUUAAUCAAGAACGAAAGUUAGGGGAUCGAAGACGAUCAGAUACCGUCGUAGUCUUAACCAUAAACUAUGCCGACUAGGGAUCGGAUGAUGUUAAUUUUUAAUGACUCAUUCGGCGCCUUACGG
rnacentral:rRNA from 1 species